rnacentral:rRNA from 1 species
GGUCAGGAUGAACGCUAGCGACAGGCUAACACAUGCAAGUCGAGGGGCAGCACGGGAGUAGCAAUACUUGGUGGCGACCGGCGCACGGGUGAGUAACGCGUAUGCAACCUACCUAUCAGAGGGGAAUAACCCGGCGAAAGUCGGACUAAUACCGCAUAAAACAGGGGCACCGCAUGGUGAUAUUUGUUAAAGAAAUUCGCUGAUAGAUGGGCAUGCGUUCCAUUAGGUAGUUGGUGAGGUAACGGCUCACCAAGCCGACGAUGGAUAGGGGAACUGAGAGGUUGGUCCCCCACACUGGUACUGAGACACGGACCAGACUCCUACGGGAGGCAGCAGUGAGGAAUAUUGGUCAAUGGGCGGGAGCCUGAACCAGCCAAGUCGCCGUGAAGGAAGAAGGAUCUAUGGUUCGUAAACUUCUUUUGCAGGGGAAUAAAGUGCAGGACGUGUCCUGUUUUGUAUGUACCCUGAGAAUAAGGAUCGGCUAACUCCGUGCCAGCCGCCGC